AGAACACCUAUAUAUUGUAUGGUUAUUUUUUAUGAUCAAACUGUUGAGACUUAUGAAAACCGGUAUAAUGAAAUAAAAAUCAAAUGAAAUCACCUUUGAGUCGUGUCAAAGGUCCUGAAUACUAUUAUUAGACAUUACUGACAAAGUAAUAGUAGAGGGUAGUAAAGAUUUUUAGAAGUCCUGUAUGGACGUGUGAUUCUUAUAGAUUAUAAUGUUCCAACUAAAUUAAGAAUGGAUGUAGAGCGUAAAGUUUAAUAUAUAAUUUCACAUAUUUUUCUAAAGAGAUGUAUGAGUUUAGAUAUUACUAAAGGUUAUCUACGCAUCGCCUGCAUGUUGCUUUCUUUCAUCCGUUUUCACCAUACAUUUAUAGUUAAUAUAAAGGCCUAUUUAUAGAGUAUUGUUGCGCCGUGAUUCAUUUUUUCUCGAUUCUGAAUGAAAAAUCUUCAAACAGUACCACCAUGCAAUUCCCAAGAAUCAAGAUAACAAUAUAAUAAAUAACCUGCAAAAUAAUGGAUAAUAGUAAUUAUAAUCUGGGAAUGAAUAUACUAGGAAUCAGGAAUGUUGAACAAAUCUAUCUAACAUAAACAUUAGUCCAUUCAACUGGAUAAUUUAGAAUUUAUCACAUGUUGAUUGUUACACAUGUAAACACUUCUGGAGUAUUUCCUGGCGUACAUAUUCAGAUCUUGCUGAUCUCAUUUAAUACGGCAUGUUUAAACCGUGGCUAAAAAAUGUUGUGUAAUGGAUACAUCUUAUUUUGUAUGGGGCCAACCUAUGAAAUGUCAAAGUGCUCUCAACUUUCAGUUUAGAUACUUCCACUGGUGUACUAUGUUCGCUUGCAGCAUAUACGCAACUUUCUGUGUUUUUGAUGGAAAGGUUUGUGUAGAUGUAUGUGUAUUCCCUAUACAAUUUGCUGUUAAUCGAAUCAAGCUAGCACCUAUCUUUCAUGUAUCCUGGAGUUUGUUCUAUACCCGCACUGUAUCAUCCAUAGAAAGUUGAUUGUUGAUUGGUUAAUACUCUUAAUAUGUCCAUGGCAGAUGGAAAAACAAGGAAAUUAAAAAAAGGUUGAGCAAUAUCAGUUGAUAACCUCCUUUUGAAUAACAUCGAGAUGCAGUGCCUUGUGGUGUUCAUCACCCACGGAUGGGUGAGGAGGAGCUUGCUUCCAGCAGAUUUUACAACAGAGUUGGCAAUGAAAGUCGAGGUGAUUAAUUAUAUGUUUGUAAAAAGGCCACAGCUUCACCACGACGACAUUGCUUCUACUUUCUGAAGGAAUACCAUGUAGUCCAAUCAUGGUAGAUUUGUGGGGGUCAUGGGCAGAGCGGAAUCAGUCGUUGUGACUACGGCUAGAAAGUGCAGAAGCUGCCUUCCAGAAUACUUACAUAAGACGACCAGAACACCUAUGCAUUGCGUAAUAUUUGUGUGUUCUCUUUGUUUAGCUGAACUGUAUGACUAUACUGUGUAAAGUAUUUUAUAUGUGUAUUCGUCAUAAAUUUAGAUCUCAUGUCUCCGUUAAUUUAUCAGAUGUCACUAUUUAUUUUGUAAUGUAUUCCUCAUCAUGCUUGUGAUUAUUUCCUACUAUAUGCUUAUCAAUAUAAUUGGAAGUA